AUUGAACGCUGGCGGCAGGCUUAACACAUGCAAGUCGAGCGGAGAUGAGGUGCUUGCACCUUAUCUUAGCGGCGGACGGGUGAGUAAUGCUUAGGAAUCUGCCUAUUAGUGGGGGACAACAUUCCGAAAGGAAUGCUAAUACCGCAUACGCCCUACGGGGGAAAGCAGGGGAUCUUCGGACCUUGCGCCAAUAGAUGAGCCUAAGUCGGAUUAGCUAGUUGGUGGGGUAAAGGCCUACCAAGGCGACGAUCUGUAGCGGGUCUGAGAGGAUGAUCCGCCACACUGGGACUGAGACACGGCCCAGACUCCUACGGGAGGCAGCAGUGGGGAAUAUUGGACAAUGGGGGAAACCCUGAUCCAGCCAUGCCGCGUGUGUGAAGAAGGCCUUAUGGUUGUAAAGCACUUUAAGCGAGGAGGAGGCUACUGAGACUAAUACUCUUGGAUAGUGGACGUUACUCGCAGAAUAAGCACCGGCUAACUCUGUGCCAGCCGCCGCCGUAAGAC
rnacentral:rRNA from 1 species